rnacentral:misc_RNA from 1 species
UCCUCUCUCAAACCUCGCGUUUGGUGUUGGACCGCGUUGGACCGCUCGCGGCCAACUGGUCUUAAAGACAGUGACGGCGUCCGUGGGACCCUCUUCGCAUCGAGCUUUUCGAAGCACGCGUCGAGUUUCAAGGCCCCAGGGACCCGGUCGAGCCUCCUUUAUUUUAUCA